GACGAACGCUGGCGGCGUGCUUAACACAUGCAAGUCGAACGCUGAAGCUCAGCUUUUGUUGGGUGGAUGAGUGGCGAACGGGUGAGUAACACGUGAGUAACCUGCCCCCUUCUUUGGGAUAACGCCCGGAAACGGGUGCUAAUACUGGAUAUUCACUGGUCUUCGCAUGGGGGUUGGUGGAAAGGGUUUUUCUGGUGGGGGAUGGGCUCGCGGCCUAUCAGCUUGUUGGUGGGGUGAUGGCCUACCAAGGCUUUGACGGGUAGCCGGCCUGAGGGGGUGACCGGUCACAUUGGGACUGAGAUACGGCCCAGACUCCUACGGGAGGCAGCAGUGGGGAAUAUUGCACAAUGGGCGCAAGCCUGAUGCAGCGACGCCGCGUGAGGGAUGGAGGCCUUCGGGUUGUGAACCUCUUUCGCUCAUGGUCAAGCCGCAACAAUGGUUGUGGUGAGGGUAGUGGGUAAAGAAGCGCCGGCUAACUACGUG
rnacentral:rRNA from 1 species